GUUAGAUUUUUUUUGCCAACCUGGUGGAUGGUUUUUCCAAUGGUGUAUUUAAAGAGGAAGGAAGUUCAGUAUUUUACUACUCCAUGUUAGAUGGUUCAGGCGAGUUAAUUAAGAACAAAUUCUUAUUUACAAUGACAGCCUGGCCACUGACAGCUGGGAAGUGCAGAGCAAUACAUAAAAUAACAAAACAACAUUGAAAUCACAGGACAAGACAGACAGAAGGACAGGGACAUAUGACAAACACAAAAGUCAAUACAGAACAGUUACAGCACAAGGAGAACAGAUAUCACAAAACAACGGGACAGAAAUACAUGGCCACAACACAAUAAAAACAGUCAGUAUAGAUAGUAGACAGUCAGCAGUAAAUAUGCUACAAUAUCAGACCGCUACAUUGACUGACCAGCUGAUGGAGUGGAGGCCACCGUGGAAAUGCGGGACCAGGAAAUGCAGGAACAGGCUUGGACUAAGCAGCUGGGCAGCCGGCAAAUGCCGGGACCGCAGAGGGGAUGGUCGCCAGAUAUGAGACCGCCUUAAAGGAUGUUACCUAGAGGAAGUUUCCUCCUUGGCUGCAUCCUGUGGCAGUUUAUUGCAUUCUUCUGCGUCCACGUUAAAGUAUCGUCAGCCAAGUAUUGGUUCAUGAUGAAAAUGAUGAUGAUUACAGAGUAUGCUGUGUACAUCUUGGAUAAUGUGCAGGUCCUCCCGGUGGUUCAAAGUACUCCUGAGAAGAACCUGAACCAUCCCUCUCAGGAGAUGAAUACUCCAUCCAGCGAUGAUGUCUUACAGACCUAUACGGAGGGUUAAGCCAAACCCCUGGACGACAAACUUAUCAAUAGCCCACCUGACAAUGAACCAACCCUAUAUGACAACAUACAGGCCUUCCCUAGGGGGAAUGAAAAACCACUCGAACUCGAAGAUGUGAAGGACUCUAGAGGGUGAUACUACUCCCCUCCGUGACCUGCAGGUGUCCUCACAGAUCAACGGCACACCCCUCGUCGACGAGCAGCAGUGUCAGUGGGUGCGGAGCCUGCGUGGACAAGCUACAGCCCUGUCAGAUGAGUGAAAGAGACAGAAGUACUGUACUCAGUACUGCUGGGAAAACGCCUUGAGGCAGAUCCAGGAGGACAUGCGGAGGGAAGGUGCAAGCAGUCUACUGUCAGCCCAGCCACCCUCCCCUCGCCUUCACAUGCCCUUGCACACACCUGGGGAUAAUAAGGAGAAGAGAGAGAAGAGGAAGAAGGAGAAAAAGCCAGUAAGCUACUUUCCUAUGGACAACACACAGACAUCCAACCAUGUCCCCACAGAUGUUGAGGAGCCCAUUUCACAGGGUAAGGUUUGGGGUGAGGUACAGACCUCCACCCAUGUCGAUGGCCAGGACAACACAACCAAAGCUAACGAUACAAUGGAGGAUGAAGAUCCCAUUUCAACAAGGGACAAGGUUUGGCGUGAGAUGCGACCCUUCCAUUACUCCUGCCAGACCAUCACAAUUCCACCCAUGGCCGAUGAGGUGGAGCCUAUGUCCCAGGCUAUUGCUCCCUCCAUUGCCAUUAGGCAGUCCCCAAAAGUUGACGCCCCACCUCCCAAUGACGCCAGCUCAUUUGCCCCAAAGACUGAGGGGUGGUUCGGCCGACUCUUUCAUUGGAGGAAUGGGGACUCUGCUGGCUCUCCUAAAGGAGUCGACAUGUAUGUACUCUAUGAGAGCAGAAGGAGGUCUCGAGGCAUGAUCAUGAACAGCAUCUUAAAAUGCAUCGUUGAAACGUUCAAGGCAUAUUAUGAAACAGCAUCUUCAAAAAUGAAUAAACACAAGAUGUAUUCAGGAUAAUCGUACUCUGAUAUUUUUUCAAAAUAGCUGCACAGUGAUACAGAAGAAGGGGAACCGAAAUGUGGUCUCAAACCACAAGUCAGUGCACAUACACACCCACAUUCUUUUACAAACAUAUCUGCGUCCCAAAUGAUACCCUCUACCCUUUAUAGUACACUACUUCUGACCAGAGCCUUGGUCAAAAGUAGUGCACUAUAUUGGGAAUAGGCCAUUUGAGAUGCAUAAACAUUCAGAUAUAUGACACAGGGAGGUGAUGAUAAAAGUGGUCUGUGAUUUUCUACUCCAGAUCAUGAUUCAGCUUACUCAUGAGUCCACUUUGAAAAUUAAAACACAAAGGUUUUCUGCGACCUGUUUUAUGACCUCUAUGCAUUAUGUUAUAUUAUAAACUGG
rnacentral:lncRNA from 1 species